UACAGAGGGUGCUAGCGUUAAUCGGAAUUACUGGGCGUAAAGCGCGCGUAGGUGGUUAGUUAAGUUGGAUGUGAAAUCCCCGGGCUCAACCUGGGAACUGCAUUCAAAACUGACUGACUAGAGUAUGGUAGAGGGUGGUGGAAUUUCCUGUGUAGCGGUGAAAUGCGUAGAUAUAGGAAGGAACACCAGUGGCGAAGGCGACCACCUGGACUGAUACUGACACUGAGGUGCGAAAGCGUGGGGAGCAAACAGG
rnacentral:rRNA from 1 species